GACGGGGGGGGCAAGUGUUCUUCGGAAUGACUGGGCGUAAAGGGUGCGUAGGCGGUCGGGUAAGUCUGAUGUGAAAUCUCCAAGCUCAACUUGGAAAUGGCAUCGGAUACUAUUCGGCUCGAGGAAUGGAGGGGAGACUGGAAUACUUGGUGUAGCAGUGAAAUGCGUAGAUAUCAAGUGGAACACCAGUGGCGAAGGCGAGUCUCUGGACAUUUCCUGACGCUGAGGCACGAAAGCCAGGGGAGCAAACGGG
rnacentral:rRNA from 1 species